rnacentral:rRNA from 1 species
CACGUAGGGGCCAAGCGUUGUCCGGAUUUAUUGGGCGUAAAGAGCGUGUAGGCGGUUUGGUAGGUCCGCUGUGAAAACUCGAGGCUCAACCUCGAGACGCCGGUGGAAACCAUCAGGCUAGAGUCCGGAAGAGGAGAGUGGAAUUCCUGGUGUAGCGGUGAAAUGCGCAGAUAUCAGGAGGAACACCGGCGGUGUAGACGCUUUCUGGACCGUAGCUGACGCUGAGACACGAAAGCGUGGGUAGCAAACAGG